UCGGCAGUAGCUCAAUGGUAGAGCAGCCGGCUGUUAACCGGCUGGUUGUAGGUUCGAGUCCUACCUGCCGAG
rnacentral:tRNA from 2 species